UACAGAGGUCUCAAGCGUUUGUUCGGAUUCAUUGGGCGUAAAGGGUGCGUAGGCGGCGCGGUAAGUCGGGUGUGAAAUCUCGGAGCUUAACUCCGAAACUGCAUUCGAUACUGCCGUGCUUGAGGACUGGAGAGGAGACUGGAAUUUAUGGUGUAGCAGUGAAAUGCGUAGAGAUCAUGAGGAAGACCAGUGGCGAAGGCGGGUCUCUGGACAGUUCCUGACACUGAGGCACGAAGGCCAGGGGAGCAAACGGG
rnacentral:rRNA from 1 species